UUUACACUGCACGCCAGUGCGAUAAGGGGAUCCCGAGUGCACAGGCAUAGAGCCUGUGCUUUUCUGAACCGUAGGGAGGUUCAGGAACAAGAGCUGGGCAAGACCGGUGCCAGCCGCCGCGGUAAUACCGGCAGCUCGAGUGAUGGCCGAUCUUAUUGGGCCUAAAGCGUCCGUAGCUGGCCUUGCAAGUCCGUCGGGAAAUCCACCCGCUCAACGGGUGGGCGUCCGGCGGAAACUGUGAGGCUUGGGACCGGGAGGCUUGAAGGGUACGUCCGGGGUAGGAGUGAAAUCCCGUAAUCCUGGACGGACCGCCGAUGGGGAAACCACUUCAAGAGAACGGAUCCGACAGUGAGGGACGAAAGCUAGGGUCUCGAACCGGAUUAGAUACCCGGGUAGUCCUAGCUGUAAACGAUGCCUGUUAGGUGUGACUCCCACUACGAGUGGGUGUUGUGCCGUAGGGAAGCCGCUAAACAGGCCGCCUGGGAAGUACGUCUGCAAGGAUGAAACUUAAAGGAAUUGGCGGGGGAGCACUACAACCGGAGGAGCCUGCGGUUUAAUUGGACUCAACGCCGGACAUCUCACCAGCAUCGACUGUGGUAAUGACGGUCAGGUUGAUGACCUUACCCGAGCCACAGAGAGGAGGUGCAUGGCCGCCGUCAGCUCGUACCGUGAGGCGUCCUGUUAAGUCAGGCAACGAGCGAGACCCGCAUCCUUACUUGCCAGCAGCACCGCGAGGUGGCUGGGGACAGUAGGGAGACCGCCGUGGCUAACACGGAGGAAGGAACGGGCAACGGUAGGUCAGUAUGCCCCGAAUAUGCUGGGCAACACGCGGGCUACAAUGGUCGAGACAAUGGGUUCCAACGCCGAGAGGCGACGGUAAUCUCAGAAACUCGAUCGUAGUUCGGAUUGUGGACUGAAACUCGUCCACAUGAAGCUGGAUUCGGUAGUAAUCGCG
rnacentral:rRNA from 1 species